UUUCCGUAGGUGAACCUGCGGAAGGAUCAUUAAACAUUUUGGCCGUAACAAGCCUCAAACCUUAUUUACACGUACCUUCACAUUCUCCUUCGGCGGGGUAACCCCCGCCGUCGGAACACAAGGAAACCCUUUUUGCAUCUAGCAUACCAACCUGUUCUGACAACAAAUCAAUCGUUACAACUUUCAACAAUGGAUCUCUUGGCUCUGGCAUCGAUGAAGAACGCAGC
rnacentral:misc_RNA from 1 species